GUUGAAGUACCGCAUGGAAAAUUAGUAAACACUUUACUGAAAAGUAAAAACGUGUACAUUUUGGAUUGCUACCUGGACGUUUUUGUGUGGAUUGGUAAAAAGAGUACUAGAUUAGUGAAUGCUGCCGCUGUAAAACUGUCUGAAGAAUUAUUCAACAUGAUUGAUAGGCCUGAUUAUGCAUUGGUUACCAGGGUUAGGGAAGGUACAGAACCACAGGUAUUCAAAUGCAAAUUUGUGGGUUGGGAUGAAGUAAUAGCCGUAGAUUUUACACGAACAGCCGAAUCGGUGCAAAAAACAGGGGCGGACUUAACUAAAUGGGCCAGGCAA